CCAAUCGAACCCGGAGAUAGCUGGUUCUCCUCGAAAUAGCUUUAGGGCUAGCCUCUGGUUAGUCUGCCGCAGGUAGAGCACUGAAUUUCCUAGGGGGCGUCAAAGCCUACCGAAGAAUAUCAAACUCCGAAUGCCGCGUAAUCGAUUAUCGGGAGUCAGACUGCACGAGAUAAGUUGGGCGGUCAAAAGGGAAAGAGCCCAGACCUUCAGUUAAGGUCCCCAAGUGCGCGUUAAGUGGAAAAGGAUGUGGGAUUUCGAAGACAACCAGGAUGUUGGCUCAGAAGCAGCCAUCCAUUCAAAGAGUGCGUAAUAGCUCACUGGUCGAGAGGUCCUGCGCCGAAAAUGUCCGGGGCUGAAACGCGCCACCGAAACUAAGGAACCGAAAGGUUGGUAGAGGAGCAUUGCAUGCGGAACGAAGCAGUACCGUAAGGAGCUGUGGACUGCAUGGAAGAGAGAAUGCCGGAAUGAGUAGCGAGAUAAAGGUGAGAAUCCUUUAGGCCGAAUAUCCAAGGUUUCCAGGGUAAAGCUGAUCUGCCCUGGGUAAGUCGGGGCCUAAGGCGAGGACGAGAGUCGUAGCCGAUGGACAACAGGUGGAGAUUCCUGUACUGCGGUAUGACAGAACUGUGGGGACACGUAAGGAAAGCGGAAGCCGGGAAUGGAAAGCCCGGUGCAAGCGGGGUACCAGUCACUUUGGCAAAUCCGGGUGGCAAUGGGAAGCCGUGAUGCGGAGCGAAAUAAAGUAGCGAAGUCCGUGAGCCAUGCGUCAAGAAAAGCCGCUAUUGUUUAUACCGUACCCGUACCGUAAACCGACACAGGUGGAUGAGGAGAGAAUCCUAAGGCCGGCGGAAGAAGCAUUGUUAAGGAACUCGGCAAAAUGACCCCGUAACUUCGGGAGAAGGGGUGCUCUUAGAAAUAAGAGCCGCAGAGAAUUGGCCCAAGCAACUGUUUAGCAAAAACACAGGUCUAUGCAAAACCGAAAGGUGAGGUAUAUGGGCUGACGCCUGCCCGGUGCUGGAAGGUUAAGAGGAGAGGUUAGCGCAAGCGAAGCUUUGAAUUUAAGCCCCAGUAAACGGCGGCCGUAACUAUAACGGUCCUAAGGUAGCGAAAUUCCUUGUCGGGUAAGUUCCGACCCGCACGAAAGGCGUAAUGAUUUGAGCACUGUCUCGACAAUGCAUCCGGUGAAAUUGAAGUACCAGUGAAGAUGCUGGUUACCUGCGCCAGGACGGAAAGACCCCAUGGAGCUUUACUCCAGCUUGAUACUGGGAUUCGGUAUUGCAUGUACAGGAUAGGUGGGAGGCUAGGAAAUGGUAACGCCAGUUGCCAUGGAGCCGCUGUUGGGAUACCACCCUUGCAGUACUGGGUUUCUAACCAGCAGCCGUGAUCCGGCUGGGGGACAAUGUCAGGUGGGGAGUUUGACUGGGGCGGUCGCCUCCGAAAGGGUAUCGGAGGCGCUCAAAGGU
rnacentral:rRNA from 1 species